rnacentral:rRNA from 1 species
AUUGGACGCUGGCGGCAUGCUUUACACAUGCAAGUCGAACGGUAACAGGUUAAGCUGACGAGUGGCGAACGGGUGAGUAAUGCAUCGGAACGUGCCCGGUCGUGGGGGAUAACGCAGCGAAAGCUGCGCUAAUACCGCAUACGAUCUGAGGAUGAAAGCGGGGGACCGUAAGGCCUCGCGCGAUCGGAGCGGCCGAUGUCAGAUUAGGUAGUUGGUGGGGUAAAGGCUCACCAAGCCAACGAUCUGUAGCUGGUCUGAGAGGACGACCAGCCACACUGGGACUGCGACACGGCCCAGACUCCUACGGGAGGCAGCAGUGGGGAAUUUUGGACAAUGGGCGAAAGCCUGAUCCAGCAAUGCCGCGUGCAGGAAGAAGGCCUUCGGGUUGUAAACUGCUUUUGUACGGAGCGAAAAGGUCUCCUCUAAUACAGGGGGCUCAUGACGGUACCGUAAGAAUAAGCACCGGCUAACUACGUGCCAGCCGCCGCGGUAA